UACGUAGGUGGCAAGCGUUGUCCGGAUUUACUGGGCGUAAAGAGCGCGCAGGCGGUCGUUCAAGUCGCGUGUGAAAGCCCCGGCCUCAACUGGGAGGGUCAGCGCGAUACUGAUCGACUCGAAGGCAGGAGAGGGUAGUGGAAUUCCCGGUGUAGUGGUGAAAUGCGUAGAUAUCGGGAGGAACACCAGUGGCGAAGGCGACUACCUGGCCUGUUUCUUGACGCUGAGGCGCGAAAGCUAGGGGAGCAAACGGG
rnacentral:rRNA from 1 species